GGCGUCUGUACAAGGAAUCAUUGACAACACUUGAGGUACGUGUAGUCGGGCUGCCUUCCUUCAGGAAUCUGUGGAAAAAAUUGCUGCCCCACAUCUCAAGCACUAAGCCCAGCACAGACCUGUGCUGGCAGUGCCAGAGGAACAACUAUCAGGUCUUCAGAUCUGCCAAUCUGCCAGAAGCUGUUAAGUCAGCCAAGCUGAAGAAGCAAGAGCAGCAAGAGCAGCAUCUCCUGCUCGUUCAGAGUGAGCGGUCUGUCUACCAGAAGACGGUUGCUGACUGCAAGACCACCUGUCAAGACCUGCAGUUACCUCUGGGGGCCCUACUGAACCAGCAAGCAAAGACAUCAGGAUGCAUUACAGCUUUGAUUUUGCUCAACAAUGCACUAGCCUGCAGCCAGGUCCCAUCUACUUCUUUACUCC
ensembl:lncRNA